ACUGGGCUUGCGGUUCCCAGCGGUAAGUCUUUGAAUAGAACUUCCUGUCUCGACUGAACGUCCAUUGUUUCAUCUGUUGAAACGUUUCCCUGUUUCUUCGCAGAGAAUCCUCCUUGUGAACAGGAUUCUCGGAAGGCAGCCGAGGGCGACGCUCAAAGUUCCAGAGAGGGCUUGGUGUCCCCAAGCUCGGCGAAGCCGUGAAGACCUUCGCAACCCCCAAAGUCACAACAACGGGGUCACUGUGCUGCCAGUGAUGGAGAGCCCAGGGUUCUCACAGACAGCCCCCUGGGAUUCCCUGUGCCACUCAAAAAGAUGUCAGAGCUUCGUUCUUAGGGAUGAAGAGAGCCAAAGGAAUCUCGACUUCACGCGAUAGGUCCAGCCCUUAAAUGAGAAGCUGAGCCACAGGAAAACAAAAGUACGCAAUGACUCAGCAAGGUGUCAUCCUGACCUGCACGGCCCCGCCUCCUGUGGAGGACACACAAGGCUUGUGGAGAAGAUGAUGACGCACAGGUACUGCCAGCCAUUGGGAAGCAAAGACGGCUAAGUCCAAACACCUGCUUUUCAAGAUAACCCAGGUCCUGGGGCCAUCCCAGUGGGACCAUGAACCGCAGCUGGAAGUGGCGAGUGCCAUCGGGAGACACAGCAGGGGGCCAGGGGCCAGGGGUGUGCUCCUUGCCCCGACAGGGACACAGAACUCCCUGGAAGAAGGCCGAGACCAGACUGUGUCUUCCCCAGACCGUCCACGUGGAUGCAGGGCCACUGCCUCAGAGGACUGCGGGUGGGAACAGCGCAGCACACACGGCCUCACCCCUACUGAAGGCACCUUCCUGUGACGGCACUUACCGUGACGUGUCUUACUGCUGUGACCUUCAACACGCCUCUAACCCCGCGGCGUCUGCGGAGCUCCUGCAGCAGGCUGGGUUCACGCCGGCCGUCUCAGCACACUCCACAUCUCUCUGCACAGAGGCUCCAGGGCCGCCGUGCAGACUGUUGUGAAGACUGGUUUAGGCACACAGCACCCUGCCCACGGCACCAAUAACCACAGGAAUUGUUACCUCCAAGGGGAGAGGCUUGUUAGAAUCCUGCAGCACACACCACUCCUCGUCUAACCGAUCAGAAAGCACGAUGCAAGUUAAAGGAAAGGUA